GCCUUGAUGGUGAAAUGGUAGACACAUAAGACUCAAAAUCUUAUGCUUUAGAGCGUGGAGGUUCGAGUCCUCUUCAAGGCA
rnacentral:tRNA from 1 species